rnacentral:misc_RNA from 1 species
AACGCACAUUGCGCCCAUUAGUAUUCUAGUGGGCAUGCCUAUUCGAGCGUCAUUUCAACCCUUAAGCCCCUGUUGCUUAGCGUUGGGAUUCUACAGGGCUGUCCUGUAGUUCCCUAAAAUCAGUGGCGGAGUGGGAGCUCACUCGUAGCGUAGUACUUUUUUUCUCGCUUCGGUAGUGGCUCUGACUUUCGGCCGUAAAACCCCCUAUAUUUUCAAAGGUUGACCUCGGAUUAGGUAGGAAUACCCGCUGAACUUAA